CCUACGGGAGGCAGCAGUGGGGAAUAUUGGACAAUGGGGGGAACCCUGAUCCAGCGACGCCGCGGGAGUGAAGAAGUAUUUCGGUAUGUAAAGCUCUAUCAGCAGGGAAGAAAGAAAUGACGGUACAUGACUAAGAAGCCCCGGCUAACUACGUGCCAGCAGCCGCGGUAAUACGUAGGGGGCAAGCGUUAUCCGGAUUUACUUGGGGUAAAGGGAGCGUAGACGGCGAUGCAAGUCUGAAGUGAAAGGCGGGGGCCCAACCCCCGGACUGCUUUGGAAACUGUAUGGCUGGAGUGCAGGAGAGGUAAGUGGAAUUCCUAGUGUAGCGGUGAAAUGCGUAGAGAUUAGGAGGAACACCAGUGGCGAAGGCGGCUUACUGGACUGUAACUGACGUUGAGGCUCGAAAGCGUGGGGAGCAAACAGGAUUAGAUACCCGAGUAGUC
rnacentral:rRNA from 1 species